UACGUAGGGUGCGAGCGUUAAUCGGAAUUACUGGGCGUAAAGCGUGCGCAGGCGGUUUUGUAAGCCAGAUGUGAAAUCCCCGGGCUCAACCUGGGAAUUGCGAUGGAGACUGCAAGGCUAGAAUCUGGCAGAGGGGGGUAGAAUUCCACGUGUAGCAGUGAAAUGCGUAGAGAUGUGGAGGAACACCGAUGGCGAAGGCAGCCUCCUGGGCCAGCACUGACGCUCAUGCACGAAAGCGUGGGGAGCAAACAGG
rnacentral:rRNA from 1 species